UACGUAGGGUGCAAGCGUUAAUCGGAAUUACUGGGCGUAAAGCGUGCGCAGGCGGCUUUGCAAGACAGAUGUGAAAUCCCCGGGCUCAACCUGGGAACUGCAUUUGUGACUGCAGGGCUGGAGUACGGCAGAGGGGGAUGGAAUUCCGCGUGUAGCAGUGAAAUGCGUAGAUAUCCGGAGGAAUACCAAAGGCGAAGGCAGUGUCCUGGAGGGUGACUGACGCUGAGGCGCGAAAGCUAGGGGAGCGAACAGG
rnacentral:rRNA from 1 species